GUAUAGGUUUAAUGACUGCUUGCGCAAUCGUUAAAAGACAUUCUGUAACUUUAUAGUGUAUAUGAAAACAUGAUCUUGAACGAAGCAGGAGCAGAGUUUAUUCAGACUCCCAAACCGCACGAAUGCGAGAGGUUUCAAUUCAAGACCACAAGAUGUGCACAAGAGAAGAUAAAUAGAUGGAACGAGCACAUGCCCAGUGAAGAGCCAGCAUCAGUACCAAUCGUAUUCAAUAAUGAUCCUUCCGCAGGUUCACCUACGGAAA
rnacentral:misc_RNA from 1 species